rnacentral:rRNA from 1 species
GACGAACGCUGGCGGCGUGCCUAAUACAUGCAAGUUGAGCGAUGAAGUUUGGUGCUUGCACCAAUUUGAAGAGCAGCGAACGGGUGAGUAACGCGUGGGUAAUCUGCCUUUGAGCGGGGGACAACAUUUGGAAACGAAUGCUAAUACCGCAUAAUAACUUUAAACAUAAGUUUUAAGUUUGAAAGAUGCAAUUGCAUCACUCAAAGAUGAUCCCGCGUUGUAUUAGCUAGUUGGUGAGGUAAAGGCUCACCAAGGCGAUGAUACAUAGCCGACCUGAGAGGGUGAUCGGCCACAUUGGGACUGAGACACGGCCCAAACUCCUACGGGAGGCAGCAGUAGGGAAUCUUCGGCAAUAGCCGAAAGUCUGACCGAGCAACGCCGCGUGAGUGAAGAAGGUUUUCGGAUCGUAAAACUCUGUUGGUAGAGAAGAACGUUGGUGGGAGUGGAAAGCUCAUCAAGUGACGGUAACUACCCAGAAAGGGACGGCUAACUACGUG